rnacentral:rRNA from 1 species
GCGUGGGUGAAGAAGGUCUUCGGAUUGUAAAGCCCUUUCGGCGGGGACGAUGAUGACGGUACCCGCAGAAGAAGCCCCGGCUAACUUCGUGCCAGCAGCCGCGGUAAUACGAAGGGGGCUAGCGUUGCUCGGAAUGACUGGGCGUAAAGGGCGCGUAGGCGGUUUGCACAGUCGGGCGUGAAAUUCCUGGGCUUAACCUGGGGGCUGCGUUCGAGACGUGUGGACUGGAGUGCGGAAGAGGGUCGUGGAAUUCCCAGUGUAGAGGUGAAAUUCGU